AAUAAAAUGGCUGAGAUUAAGCGAUAAAUUGUAAAUUUAUUGACGAGAAAAAUUCUCUUUUAUUA
rnacentral:tRNA from 1 species